UUUAUUUUUGUACUAUUUAUUUUUCGUGUUAAUCGGUUGUGCAAGAACUUUGAAGUUUCAUGAACUUAACCAGCAUCAUAUCUGAUAGCUGCAAGUGUUGUUUUUAGUGAAAGUGAUAGUUUCGUGUUUUUUUUUCUACUUGACGUUAUCACUUUGCACAACGUUACGCUCAAUUUGUUGACAAAAGCGACAUCUUCUGGUGGAUAGCUGAUAGUUGCAUGCAAGUUCGCUUCAUUUUUGCUGCGUUUAUUGCAUACCCGGUAGGCGUUAUUUUCUUUGCUCAAAAGCAUGGCUUGUACCAACUGCUCGAAAGUCAUAAAUGAUUCUGAGCGAAUCACCUGUCGUGGGUAUUGCGGAAAUUCGUUUCACAUGAUAUGUGUCAAGUUGGAUUAUGACGUUCGUGAUGUUCUGGGAAUCCACUCACGGAAUAUAUUCUGGAUGUGUAACGGAUGUGCUGAUUUGUUUUGUAACGAUAAUUUCCGCAGAAUGGCUUCGCGUUGUUGCGACAAUGCAAUGCCCGACGACAAUUCUCUGAAAUCAUUAAAGGAUGACAUAGCUGAUUUAAAAGAUGUCGUUAAAGCUCUCUCGGUUAAAGUCGACACAAAACCGCUAUCUCCAACGGUAAAUACACCUUGGACAGGGAUUGCUGCAUAUAAUCCCGUUCCAAACACUCCUAAGCGCAAGCGUGAAGAUGAUCCGCUCAAAGCAAAAAUCACUAAUAUUCGUGGAGCAAAAGCUGCGUUUGAAACGAUAAAAACAGUAUCACCACCUGAGGAGCUGUUAUGGGUCUACUUGUCUGCAUUUGAUCCCAGCACGACGGACGAUGAAGUUUCUAGACUUGUGAAAGAUUGUCUGGGAAAGGAUAUGCAACCAAAAAUAGUUCGCCUAGUUCCUAAGGAUAAGGAUCUCUCAUCGCUGAGCUUCAUCACCUUCAAAGUUGGCGUUAGCAAAUCAUGUAGGGAUAAGGCUCUGUCCAAAGACUCUUGGCCGGAGAACAUCUACUUUCGUGAAUUUGUGACCAAUUCAAAAAUUCAACGGCCUAUCAUCAGGAUCGCUGCGAAGAAGAAUCCAUCUGGUGGUGGACAGUAGCGCCAAGCUAUCCCGGAUAAACUCGUCUGUCUAAUUUCAUGUUCCUCGGUGAGCGACAUCGAACUACCUGGCGAAUCGGCAACUUCUUCUGUGUCAGUCUGCUGAUGAACACUACUCAAUCGACUCUACCGCUCCAGCGAACCUUCAAUGUCAAAAUGAUAAUUUCGAUCGCAUCGCAUCUGUCCGCUCAGGUAAACAUUUAAAUAAUAUAUGUCCUUCCGAAGCUACACGUGAUACUGCGCACCUUCAAGUAUGCCUCCCAUUGCAGUCAGCCGCUGGACGCAACAGUUAUGACGCAGUCAUUCCCUCCGUAUCGCAGCUUGUUCCCCUUCCUGACAACAGUACAUCCUGCUCUCCCCGCGCUAUUUGCGGUGAUAGUGAUCAUCGAGCCCACAGUCCUGAAACUUGGAAUGCAGCACGACACCUCUCACAUGACACUGAUGGUUUGCGGAUUUACUAUCAGAACGCGAGAGGGCUUAAGACGAAAAUUGAUGACGUGUAUUUAGCUGCUGUGGACGGUGACUACGAUGUUUGCGUCUUCACCGAAACAUGGCUCGAUGCGCGUAUAACAUCAGUGCAGCUUUUCGGCGAUGCUUACACCGUAUACCGUGCGGACCGAAAUAGUGGCAACAGUAUUCGCGGACGUGGAGGAGGAGUUUUGAUUGCUGUUUCCACCGCAUUUGCCUCAUGUGAGAUUGAUGUCGGUAGUUUAACCAGUGUUGAGGCUGUUUGGGUUAGAAUUACAACUCCAUCGAGGAACUUUUAUAUUGGUGCUGUCUAUAUUCCUCCUGAAAAGCGACUCGACUGCAAUAUCAUGCAACUUCACAUGGAUGCUGUGAAUAACGCUUCUUCACAAGCUGGCGCGGA